rnacentral:rRNA from 1 species
UUGGAGGGCAAGUCUGGUGCCAGCAGCCGCGGUAAUUCCAGCUCCAAUAGCGUAUAUUAAAGUUGUUGCAGUUAAAAAGCUCGUAGUUGAAUUUCGGGAUCAAUAUAUCGGUCGUGCCUUCGGUAUGUACUGGUAUUAUUGGUUUCUCCUUUCUGACAAACUAUGAUGUCAUUAAUUUGGUGUCAUGGGGAAUCGGGACUGUUACUUUGAAAAAAUUAGAGUGUUUAAAGCAGGCACACGCUUGAAUACAUUAGCAUGGAAUAAUGAAAUAGGACGUUUGACCCUAUUUUGUUGGUUUCUAGGAUCGACGUAAUGAUUAAUAGGGAUAGUUGGGGGCAUUAGUAUUCAAUUGUCAGAGGUGAAAUUCUUGGAUUUAUUGAAGACUAACUACUGCGAAAGCAUUUGCCAAGGAUGUUUUCAUUAAUCAAGAACGAAAGUUAGGGGAUCGAAGACGAUCAGAUACCGUCGUAGUCUUAACCAUAAACUAUGCCGACUAGGGAUCGGAUGAUGUUAAUUUUUUAAUGACUCAUUCGGCGCCUUACGGGAAAC